rnacentral:rRNA from 1 species
AUUGAACGCUGGCGGCAGGCCUAACACAUGCAAGUCGAGCGGGGUUUUCGGACCUAGCGGCGGACGGGUGAGUAAUGCGUAGGAAGCUGCCCGAUAGAGGGGGAUACCAGUUGGAAACGACUGUUAAUACCGCAUAAUGUCUACGGACCAAAGUGUGGGACCUUCGGGCCACAUGCUAUCGGAUGCGCCUACGUGGGGUGAGCUAGUUGGUGAGGUAAUGGCUCACCAAGGCGACGAUCUCUAGCUGGUUUGAGAGGAUGAUCAGCCACACUGGAACUGAGACACGGUCCAGACUCCUACGGGAGGCAGCAGUGGGGAAUAUUGGACAAUGGGCGCAAGCCUGGUCCAGCCAUGCCGCGUGUGUGAAAAAGGCCUUCGGGUUGUAAAGCACUUUCAGCGAGGAGGAAGGGGUGUGUGUUAAUAGUACACACCUUUGACGUUACUCGCAGAAGAAGCACCGGCUAACUCUGUGCCAGCCGCCGCAGUAAAAC